UUAUUAUAAAAACCCGUUUCUUAACUUUUAACUAAAAAAAUAAGAACCGGUUCUUAAACAAAAUAUUUAAGAACCGAUUCUUAGUUUUUUUAGUUAAAAGUUAAGAGACGGAUUCUUAUAUUCC
rfam:Brassica napus, WGS project CCCW01000000 data, contig: 21937